GCGGCCUAUCAGCUUGUUGGUGGGGUAAUGGCCUACCAAGGCGACGACGGGUAGCCGGCCUGAGAGGGUGACCGGCCACACUGGGACUGAGACACGGCCCAGACUCCUACGGGAGGCAGCAGUGGGGAAUAUUGCACAAUGGGCGAAAGCCUGAUGCAGCGACGCCGCGUGAGGGAUGACGGCCUUCGGGUUGUAAACCUCUUUCGCCAGGGACGAAGCGCAAGUGACGGUACCUGGAUAAGAAGCACCGGCUAACUACGUGCCAGCAGCCGCGGUAAUACGUAGGGUGCGAGCGUUGUCCGGAUUUAUUGGGCGUAAAGAGCUCGUAGGCGGUUUGUCGCGUCGGCCGUGAAAUCUCCACGCUUAACGUGGAGCGUGCGGUCGAUACGGGCAGACUUGAGUUCGGUAGGGGAGACUGGAAUUCCUGGUGUAGCGGUGAAAUGCGCAGAUAUCAGGAGGAACACCGGUGGCGAAGGCGGGUCUCUGGGCCGAUACUGACGCUGAGGAGCGAAAGCGUGGGGAGCGAACAGGAUUAGAUACCCUGGUAGUCCACGCUGUAAACGUUGGGCGCUAGGUGUGGGCGACAUCCACGUUGUCCGUGCCGUAGCUAACGCAUUAAGCGCCCCGCCUGGGGAGUACGG
rnacentral:rRNA from 1 species